rnacentral:lncRNA from 1 species
CCACUCCUCCAAGCCCUCCAUCUCCUCCAGUUCUAACAGAUUCCCAUGACACGUCUCCAGCACCAUCACCAUUUCAGAACGUGGUAACACUCUCUUACUAAACUACAAUCUUUAAAAAGAAACGCACUAUCACCAAACUGAAUUAUAUAACAAUCUUUAAUUUUUGGUUUUACAGAACGGAGUAAAUGCCUUGAACCAGCUAGAAGGAAGAGUAGCAAUGUGGCUCAGCACUGUACUGGGAACUCUCCUCAUGCUGGCUAUCACAGCCUAAAGUCUCUAGCUUUCUUCUCACUAUAUCACCUAUGUAUCAAC